GCAGGUGGCCGGGUGCACGGCAGUGUGAGCCUGAAGUGGCUGAAUUUGGGGGAGGCCGCGUGGUGGUGUCACCAGACCUUGAAUUGAAUCUGCCUGUGACAGCUACCUGCUAGGUCAUCUUGGGCAAGUGACUUCACCUAAAUUUUCAGGCUGCACAACACGUUAAGGAGGUCACCCUGGUGGAUAUAAGGACAAGGUUUUCUGGAAGAUGGGUUUUAUAGUCAUUCAGACCCUAUUUUGAAUCCCGGUUCUUUCACUUUCUAUAUUGAUAGGCGACCUUCAGUAAGGGAACUUAAUUGAUCUAAACCUUAUAUCUGUAAAAUGGGGAUGAUAAAAUGGUGCUGUGAAGAUUAAAUGAGACAAAACACUGGCACAUAGUAAAAUAAAGUGGUAACUGGAAUCUAUGGAAUGUCUUUGUUCCCUUUUUUGGUCUCCAGAAUGUCCCGGAGAUGAAUUUCGGUAGGCAGUAACGAUGUGCACAGAAUUUAGCUGUGCCAGAUGGAGGCUGCAGGAUGACUGAAGUUGCUUUCUGGUUAGUGAGGACUCUGGGGUGAUGACAGUGAUGGAACACAGCAACCUCAGAACAAGGUUGCCUCAAGUUUCCUGGCAAUGUCUGAUACUGAAGAAUCUGAAGAUACCGGCUUGUUGCUGUUGCUGUGCUUUAGAAUAAGGUAAAGUUCGAUGUUGAAGACAGCCUGACCCUCCGGUUCCCUUUCCCAUCGGAUCUGAACACUGGUCUUGGUGGUCGUAAAAGGAGGAAAAGUAAUGCUGAACCUGGCCUCACGGCGCUUGUAGUCUGGUAUAGGGCAUGUGGGCUAGUUUCAAACAAGAUUGAAUUCUCUUUGAACUUGUUUUCUCCUUCCCUAUAAAACGAGAUAAUCUUAUGUUUAAAGGGAGGAUGUACACGAGGCUCUGGGCAGGGGGUAUAGUGAUUGCUGGUUAAUAUUUCUGUAUUGUGAGGGGUUUAUCAGUGGCUUUCUUGCCUCUUGAUUGUGUCCUCCUUUUUUAGAUCUGUAUCAGGAAGCUGUGUUCAUCUGCAUGUAUGGGUCUACAGAGCUGAGAGAGAAGUAGUACGAGAAGAGGCAAGCUGAAACACAACACGUUACUUUAGGUGGAAACAGUGACUUUUUUUUUUUUGCUAAUGCUGUACCUGGAACAUACAGGACCAAUAAAAGACU